rnacentral:rRNA from 1 species
GACGAACCGUGCAAACGUUGUUCGGAAUCACUGGGCUUAAAGGGCGCGUAGGCGGGUGGUCAAGUCAGGGGUGAAAUCUUUCGGCUCAACCGGAAAAUUGCCUUUGAUACUGGCCGUCUUGAGGGAGGUAGGGGCAUGCGGAACUUCCGGUGGAGCGGUGAAAUGCGUUGAUAUCGGAAGGAACGCCGGUGGCGAAAGCGGCGUGCUGGAUCUCUUCUGACGCUGAGGCGGCGAAAGCUAGGGGAGCGAACGGG